CCUACGGGGGGCAGCAGUGGGGGAUAUUGCACAAUGGGGGAAACCCUGAUGCAGCGACGCCGCGUGUGGGAAGACGGUCCUCUGGAUUGUAAACCACUGUCCCCAGGGACGAAGAUGACGGUACCUGAGGAAUAAGCCACGGCUAACUACGUGCCAGCAGCCGCGGUAAUACGUAGGUGGCAAGCGUUAUCCGGAUUUAUUGGGUGUAAAGGGCGUGUAGGCGGGAGCGCAAGUCAGAUGUGAAAACUCAGGGCUCAACCCUGAGCCUGCAUUUGAAACUGGGUUUCUUGAGUGCUGGAGAGGCA
rnacentral:rRNA from 1 species